rnacentral:rRNA from 1 species
CGGAGGGUGCAAGCGUUAUCCGGAUUCACUGGGUUUAAAGGGUGCGUAGGUGGGUUGGUAAGUCAGUGGUGAAAUCCCCGAGCUUAACUUGGGAACUGCCAUUGAUACUAUCAAUCUUGAAUACUGUGGAGGUCAGCAGAAUAUGUCAUGUAGCGGUGAAAUGCUUAGAUAUGACAUAGAAUACCAAUUGCGAAGGCAGCUGGCUACACAAAUAUUGACACUGAGGCACGAAAGCGUGGGGAUCAAACAGGAUUAGAUACCCUGGUAGUCCACGCCCUAAACGAUGGAUACUCGACAUUUGCGAUACACAGCAAGUGUCUGAGCGAAAGCAUUAAGUAUCCCACCUGGGAAGUACGAUCGCAAGGUUG